CUGGGCGUAAAGGGCUCGUAGGUGGUUUAUCGCGUCGUCUGUGAAAUUCCGGGGCUUAACUCCGGGCGUGCAGGCGGUACGGGCAUAACUUGAGUACUGUAGGGGUAACUGGAAUCCUGGUGUAGCGGUGAAAUGCGCAGAUAUCAGGAGGAACACCGAUGGCGAAGGCAGGUUACUGGGCAGUUACUGACGCUGAGGAGCGAAAGCAUGGGUAGCGAACAGGAUUAGAUACCCUGGUAGUCCAUGCCGUAAACGGUGGGCGCUAGGUGUGAGGGUCUUUUCACGACUUUCGUGCCGUAGCUAACGCAUUAAGCGCCCCGCCUGGGGAGUACGGCCGCAAGGCUAAAACUCAAAGGAAUUGACGGGGGCCCGCACAAGCGGCGGAGCAUGUGGAUUAAUUCGAUGCAACGCGAAGAACCUUACCUGGGCUUGACAUACACCGGAUCGGGCUAGAGAUAGUCUUUCCCUUUGUGGCUGGUGUACAGGUGGUGCAUGGUUGUCGUCAGCUCGUGUCGUGAGAUGUUGGGUUAAGUCCCGCAACGAGCGCAACCCUUGUCUUAUGUUGCCAGCAUUUGGUUGGGGACUCAUGAGAGACUGCCGGGGUCAACUCGGAGGAAGGUGGGGAUGACGUCAAAUCAUCAUGCCCCUUAUGUCCAGGGCUUCACACAUGCUACAAUGGUCGGUACAACGCGCAGCGACACUGUGAGGUGGAGCGAAUCGCUGAAAGCCGGCCUUAGUUCGGAUUGGGGUCUGCAACUCGACCCCAUGAAGUCGGAGUCGCUAGUAAU
rnacentral:rRNA from 1 species